AAUGGGCGCAAGCCUGAUCCAGCCAUGCCGCGUGAGUGAUGAAGGCCUUAGGGUCGUAAAGCUCUUUCGCCAGGGAUGAUAAUGACAGUACCUGGUAAAGAAACCCCGGCUAACUCCGUGCCAGCAGCCGCGGUAAUACGGAGGGGGUUAGCGUUGUUCGGAAUUACUGGGCGUAAAGCGCGCGUAGGCGGAUUGGAAAGUUGGGGGUGAAAUCCCGGGGCUCAACCCCGGAACUGCCUCCAAAACUACCAGUCUAGAGUUCGAGAGAGGUGAGUGGAAUUCCGAGUGUAGAGGUGAAAUUCGUAGAUAUUCGGAGGAACACCAGUGGCGAAGGCGGCUCACUGGCUCGAUACUGACGCUGAGGUGCGAAAGUGUGGGGAGCAAACAGGAUU
rnacentral:rRNA from 1 species